rnacentral:tRNA from 1 species
AAAAAGGUAAGCUAAAAAAGCUAAUGGGUUCAUACCUCAUUUAUAAGAGUCUCAAUCUCUUUCUUUUUA